GUCUACGGCCAUACCACCCUGAAUGUGCCUGAUCUCGUCUGAUCUUGGAAGCUAAGCAGCAUCAUACCUGGUUAGUACUUGGAUGGAAGAACUCUGAGGCACAGAGAGA
ensembl:rRNA 5S_rRNA 5S ribosomal RNA